rnacentral:rRNA from 1 species
UACGUGAGGCAGCAGUAGGGAAUAUUGGACAAUGGGCGCAAGCCUGAUCCAGCCAUGCCGCGUGAGUGAAGAAGGCCCUCGGGUUGUAAAGCUCUUUGUCCGGAAAGAAAAGCGCCGGGGUAAUACCCUGGUGUCCUGACGUACCGAGAUAGACCGUC